AAACCAACAGGGAUUGCCUCAGUAACGGCGAGUGAAGCGGCAAAAGCUCAAAUUUGAAAUCCCCCCGGGGAAUUGUAAUUUGAAGAUUGUGUUUUGGAAACGACCGUGUCUAUGUUCCUUGGAACAGGACGUCACAGAGGGUGAGAAUCCCGUGCGGCACGGCCACCGUUUCCUUAUAAAACACUCUCGACGAGUCGAGUUGUUUGGGAAUGCAGCUCAAAGUGGGUGGUAAAUUCCAUCUAAAGCUAAAUACAGGCGAGAGACCGAUAGCGAACAGUACAGUGAUGGAAAGAUGAAAAGCACUUUGAAAAGAGAGUGAAACAGUACGUGAAAUUGUUGAAAGGAAGGCAUGCCGUCAGAUUGUCAGUGUGGGUAAGAAGCGGGGUACAAAGACUGUGGAACGUGGCCCUCGGGUGUUAUAGCCACAGUUCAUCCCCCGUCUCUUUCCGAGGCCUGCUUUGAGGACACCGACGUAAUGACGGUACGCCGCCCGUCUUGAAACACGGA
rnacentral:rRNA from 1 species